rnacentral:rRNA from 1 species
CCUACGGGAGGCAGCAGUGGGGAAUCUUGCACAAUGGAGGAAACUCUGAUGCAGCGAUGCCGCGUGAGUGAAGAAGGCCUUUGGGUUGUAAAGCUCUUUUGUAGGGGAAGAUAAUGACUGUACCCUAAGAAUAAGGUCCGGCUAACUUCGUGCCAGCAGCCGCGGUAAUACGAAGGGACCUAGCGUAGUUCGGAAUUACUGGGCGUAAAGCGCGCGUAGGCCGUUGAGUUAGUUAAUUGUGAAAUCCCAAAGCUUAACUUUGGAACUGCAAUUAAAACUGCUCGACUAGAGUUUGAUAGAGGAAAGCGGAAUACAUAGUGUAGAGGUGAAAUUCGUAGAUAUUAUGUAGAACACCAGUUGCGAAGGCGGCUUUCUGGAUCAACACUGACGCUGAGGCGCGAAAGUAUGGGUAGCAAAGAGGAUUAGAUACCCUCGUAGUCCAUACCAUAAACGAUGAUUGCUAGAUGUUGGAAAUUUAUUUUCAGUAUCGCAGCUAACGCAUUAAGCAAUCCGCCUGGGGAGUACGACCGCAAGGUUAAAACUCAAAGGAAAUUGACGG